GUUGGGUAAUCCUCUUGCCUUACCAAUUUUUUUAACAACCAGUAAAGGAUAAAGAGAAAAUGGAAGAAACCCUAAUCCAUGUCUUUUUUAUUUUCUUUUCAUUUUUCUCUCUCUCUUUUCCCCUUUUCCUGCGUGAUGAUAAUCUUCUGUCUCUGGCAUCCAUUUCAUCCAUUUUGAAAAAGAUCCAUGGUGUCCACCCACGUGGAAGAUAUUCCACCUCUGUUGUUGGAUGCCACCGUCGAAUAACCUCCUCUUAUUGGUUGGAACCACCAGUGGUAAGCUGUCAUUAAUUACAGACCAUCAAAGGAUGACAGUGAUGAGCAAAGCUACUUGAUGGUUCUAUUUAUGUACUUUAUGGAUUAGUUUAAUUGGGAAACGUUUGAUAAGUUGAUAUACAACAAGAAAGAGUAGAAAUGUAGAAAAAACGGAAGAAGAAAUGAAAAGAAAAACAACCAAAAAGAAAGCAUCCUAAAAAUGAAAAAGAAGAAAGAGAAAAGAUCAGUUGAAGAAUAGAGGAAGAAAAAAAUAUAAAAGAUACAUAGAAAAGUUGCAAAAAGAAGAGAACAUUUAAGAUCAAAAGUGGUAAUUUUACACCAUUAUCACAUAA